AUCUUGACCUCAGAUCAGGCAAGGCUACCCGCUGAAUUUAAGCAUAUUAAUAAGCGGAGGAAAAGAAACUAACAAGGAUUCCCCCAGUAACGGCGAGUGAAGCGGGAAUAGCUCAAAUUUGAAAUCUCCGACGCUUGCGUCGGCGAGUUGUAGUUGCGAGAAGCACUUUCUAGGCGGAUCGGUCGUGCCUAAGUUGCUUGGAACAGUACGUCACAGAGGGU
rnacentral:rRNA from 1 species